rnacentral:rRNA from 1 species
GACGAACGCUGGCGGCGUGCCUAACACAUGCAAGUCGAGCGAAUGAAGUUCCUUCGGGACUGGAUUUAGCGGCGGACGGGUGAGUAACACGUGGGCAACCUGCCUCAUAGAGGGGAAUAGCCUCCCGAAAGGGAGAUUAAUACCGCAUAAGAUUGUAGUACCGCAUGAUACAGCAAUUAAAGGAGCAAUCCGCUAUGAGAUGGGCCCGCGGCGCAUUAGCUAGUUGGUGAGGUAAUGGCUCACCAAGGCGACGAUGCGUAGCCGACCUGAGAGGGUGAUCGGCCACAUUGGGACUGAGACACGGCCCAGACUCCUACGGGAGGCAGCAGUGGGGAAUAUUGCACAAUGGGGGAAACCCUGAUGCAGCAACGCCGCGUGAGUGAUGACGGCCUUCGGGUUGUAAAGCUCUGUCUUCAGGGGCGAUAAUGACGGUACCUGAGGAGGAAGCCACGGCUAACUACGUG